rnacentral:SRP_RNA from 1 species
GCUGGGUGAAGUGGCACUUGCCUGUAGCCCCAGCUACUCAGGAGGCUGAGGUGGGAGGAUCGCUUGAGCCCAGGAGUUCUGGGCUGUAGUGCGCUAUGCCGAUCGGGUGUCUGCACUAAGUUCGGCAUCAAUAUGGUGACCUCCCGGGAGCAGGGGACCACCAGGUUGCCUAAGGAGGAGUGAACCGGCCCAGGUCAGAAACAGAGCAGGUCAAAACUCCUGUGCUGAUCAGUAGUGGGAUUGCGCCUGUGAAUAGCCACUGCACUCCAGCCUGGGCAACAUAGUGAGACCCCGAUCUCU